rnacentral:rRNA from 1 species
GAUGAACGCUGGCGGCGUGCCUAAUACAUGCAAGUCGAGCGAACAGACGAGGAGCUUGCUCCUCUGACGUUAGCGGCGGACGGGUGAGUAACACGUGGAUAACCUACCUAUAAGACUGGGAUAACUUCGGGAAACCGGAGCUAAUACCGGAUAAUAUAUUGAACCGCAUGGUUCAAUAGUGAAAGACGGUUUUGCUGUCACUUAUAGAUGGAUCCGCGCCGCAUUAGCUAGUUGGUAAGGUAACGGCUUACCAAGGCAACGAUGCGUAGCCGACCUGAGAGGGUGAUCGGCCACACUGGAACUGGGACCCGGUCCAGACUCCUACGGGAGGCAGCAGUAGGGAAUCUUCCGCAAUGGGCGAAAGCUUGACGGAGCAACGCCGCGUGAGGGAUGAAGGUCUUCGGAUCGUAAAACUCUGUUAUUAGGGAAGAACAAAUGUGUAAGUAACUAUGCACGUCUUGACGGUACCUAAUCAGAAAGCCACGGCUAACUACGUG